AGCGAAUCGCGCGGGACGCAAACCAAACUCGUCCUUUAGCCUAGCCUCCUACUAGUUAGGUACGAGCAGGGUAUGGGCAGCGUAUGAGGUGCACCCCUGUGCGAAGUUUGGCGUCGUACGUGAAGUCUGUGUGCCAGAGACUGAACCGUAAGAGCGGAAUGAUCACAGAGAACUGGUUACGUGAAGAGGUGCUUCAGCUCGGGUGAAUUUGGAACCGUGACAUGUCAUCAAAGGUGGUAUCCCUUGACAUAGAGGUACCCCAGGGGAGAUAUUGAGGGGACCGGAGUGAGCUUGAGGGCCUCAGCCAUACCCAGUCAGAAGCUGCUUGGACGGUGAUGGAUACCUUGCCCCAGGGAGAAACGGCCACAAGAGCACUUAACCGUAAACACACAGAGACACACACACACAAAUGCUCCGCAGACGGAGCUAGAUCCAAGCCUCAGACACGGAGCAGACACGGCGCACAGCGAGGUGGAAAUGAGAUGUUUAGCCUGAUGAUGCGUGACAUCUGUAAUGCAUUCUAAUUCUCCCCAUCGGAGCACUCGUCUUUAAGAAUGAUUGAUGAUGUUGUUUCAUCGUCUCAGUAAACACCGCUUAAUAAAUGAAGACCACGUCUGAUCAUCCACAGCUUCGGUGAUUCAGACUGAAUUCAGCAUUGUUCCAAAACAAUAAUAGCAUCUUGUACAUUUUCACUCUUGUUUUUAUUUGUUGUGCUGCUGGAUCCCCCCUUUUUGCCAAUGUUUUCUUUGUGUAACGUCAUUGUAUUUUUAUUUUUUUUAUUCUUUCAUACACUCGGCUCCAUUUCCCUGUGAACGACGUCAGCGUGCGCAUGCCGAUGUGACCAGGUGGCUUGACAGUAAAACUGUCUGUUUGAAUGUUCCGUAAACGGCGCAGAGUAGUAAUUUCACGAUCAUCACAUCACGCUUUGCAGACAGCGUUAUUACAUAUGUGGUGCGGCCGACUCUGCUAUUAUCAUUACUUAGCCCCAGAGCAGUUGCCCUGAACCUAAGCCUACCAUUAACAUUAAAUGUUAAUCACCCAUGCAACCGGCCAGCUUGUCGUCUAAGUUGUUAGAAUGUAUUUCAGCAUAUUCUACAUAUACUGGACGUCCGCCUUGUAAUUGGCUGUUGCUUUUCGAAUCGCGUAAGAUACCGCGUGAGAGAGGAAAGCAUGAAACCUGCAUGUUGUGUAGAUAUUUGUUGAAAACAUUAGCAUUUUGACUUCUCGGAGCAGCACGUGCGUCCUCAGCGGGGAGGCUUAUUACCGCAACUUCAGCUGCACUUUUGUGCUCUAAAGUCAACACAUGCCACUGCAUAUGCAGCUCACCUCGGAGAACUUGCUCUGCAUUAUUGUGCUGCAGUGUCGCCUCCUCCUCGCGGCGCAUCCUCGGCAUAAUGAUGAAUACAGUGUGCCGUGUGCGCGCUGCGGCGCGGUGGCUAUGUGUCGGUGCCGCGAGACACGCGUUGACACACACAGCAGUACGGUGAGCCGCUGUAAUCCUCUUGGGAGGAGGGCGCUGAACACACAGCGCCACGGAGCUGGGACUCGAUGACAUCAGAGUGUCUUGCGAGGAUCCUUCUCAGGGGGCCGCCACCUCAUGGGACCCAAAAGAUUAGAUUAAGUGCAUCAUCCAGGGGAGUGCUGUACUUUCCACAUAGAAAUUUUGGCCAUCUGAUGAUUUCCAAACCGGUCUUACUUAGAAAAACACGCUUUCUGCUGUUCUGACUUAAAAUUAUACAGAGUGACAAACACACAGUGUAUACAGUGUCAAAUACACUCCUGUUGUUGUUGGCAGGCAGGCAUAGUGGAAUCUUUACAAUGAUUCUAAGUUUUGAAAACACAUAUCAUAUGUUAUCCAAGUUGGCAAUGGGCAGGAGGCAGAGUAAACUCAGUCCAUCACAGGGCUGACAGAGAGACAGUUCACACAUAUGGCCGAUUUAGAACCACUAAUUAACCUGAGACACACGUCUGUGGAACUGCUUUGUACUUUAGUUUAAAUAAGGGAAUCGUUUAGUGGGACGAUGACAGCUUCUUAAAUCCACACUAAAUGAAUAUAAAUAAACCCGUUUUUUUUAUUUUUUUGCAGAGCCACAAUUCUGUAAUCACCGUAACAAUGUGGUCCACGGCAAAUUACAGCGAGAAAAUAAAGUCUCUUAUGUAACAGCGAAAGAUAAUGAGAUGUUAUUGCAGGUGAAGUUCUGUGGUCCGUUGUCAUGGAUAUCCUAAUAACAAGCCAUGUCUACACAGCUGAAUUACAAAGGCCCCUUUCUACAACAAUGCCUCGUAGACUAAACUGUGUGCACUGGUAUUUUAAAAAAUGAGAAUUCAAAACUAUAGUUGACCUUUCUACUUGUUUUCUUCUCCUCUCUUCAUCCCCUUUGAAGCUCUUUCUCAGUGACUGCUUCAGCUCUGGCCUCUAUCUGUUUACAUGGGUCACAUUCCCGGUUAUAUAUUUUUGACCCGAUAUCUCUCUUAAACAUUUGUGAAUCAUUUUUUUUUGCGUGUUUUUAUCUGUGGAGUUGAAACAAUUAUUCAGAUACAAUGAACCCUUGAACCCAGUGCUUCUCUGCUUGUCAGCAUAAAUGCAUGAAAUCGCAGCAGUUUUUAUGUCACUAUCCCUAGACUAGCAAAUCCUAGACAUAUAAAUGAGUUAAUAUUGUAGCUGAAAUCACCCGUCUAUUGCAAUAAAUAAAUGAAUAACAAAGAAGAGAAUAAAUGUCAAGAAAUAAAUGUCCUCCACACAAUACAGUAAAAAUUAACCGGUUAAAGAUCUGAGGAAAGGCCGGUGUGAGAAACCGUUAACUGACUCGCUCUGCCUCAUGUAAUAAU